UAGGGAAUCUUCCGCAAUGGACGCAAGUCUGACGGAGCAACGCCGCGUGAGUGAAGAAGGUUUUCGGGUCGUAAAGCUCUGUUGUUAGAGAAGAACAAGUGCUAGAGUAACUGUUAGCGCCUUGACGGUAUCUAACCAGAAAGCCACGGCUAACUACGUGCCAGCAGCCGCGGUAAUACGUAGGUGGCAAGCGUUGUCCGGAUUUAUUGGGCGUAAAGCGAGCGCAGGCGGUUCCUUAAGUCUGAUGUGAAAGCCCCCGGCUCAACCGGGGAGGGUCAUUGGAAACUGGGGAACUUGAGUGCAGAAGAGGAGAGUGGAAUUCCAUGUGUAGCGGUGAAAUGCGUAGAUAUAUGGAGGAACACCAGUGGCGAAGGCGACUCUCUGGUCUGUAACUGACGCUGAGGCUCGAAAGCGUGGGUAGCAAACAGGAUUAGAUACCCUGGUAGUCCACGCCGUAAACGAUGAGUGCUAAGUGUUGGAGGGUUUCCGCCCUUCAGUGCUGCAGUUAACGCAUUAAGCACUCCGCCUGGGGAGUACGACCGCAAGGUUG
rnacentral:rRNA from 1 species